GUCCGGGUAGGGAUCGGGUUCUGAUGCUGUAGUUCCGCGACCGGACUCAACGAACGAUCGCAAAUCGAGCAGCGUGGGCCGGUUAAAACCCUAAGCGCCAAUUCUGAGCGUUCGUUCCAAUUCAAAACCCCUAAAGGUUUCCAUCGCCUCAAAAUUUGAUGGUUACAAAGCCCAAAGCGGAUUAAAAUAGUCAUCUCUCGCGCAAUUGUUGAAUUUUUUUGAUGCCGAUGUGGAUUUCUCAAUCCACGAUUCAAGCCCGCCGGGGCUUCUCAAAGGAAGCUCUUUGCAAAGUCUUUGCUCUAAAAGUCGGGACUAGAAGAAAAUUUUGCAGUUCUACCCCUAAUCUCAACCGUACCGUGGAAAUUGAGCAGGAGUUACGAGAGAAGGUUUCUCUGACACCUGAGGCUGACCAAUAUGACGUUGCCAUUGUUGGUGGAGGCAUGGUUGGUCUAGCAUUUGCAUGUGGAUUAUCAAGUAUGCCAUUAACAAAACAAUUGAGAGUUGCGAUUAUUGAUAGCAAUCCUGCUCUGCAGUCUGGAGCUACCCUUAAGAAAUCUGAAAUACCUGAUCCAAGGGUCAGUACUGUGACUCCAGCAACUAUUUCCUUUUUCAAAGAGGUUGGUGCAUGGGAGUAUGUGCAACAACAGAGACAUGCUUUCUUCGAUCAAAUGCAGGUAUGGGACUAUACUGGAUUGGGUUAUACAAGAUAUAAUGCGAGAGAUGUUGGAAAGGAAUGCCUUGGUUGCGUGGUAGAGAAUAAGGUGCUCUGCAAUUCUCUUCUAUUGUCCUUGCAGAAUGCAGAUUUCCAGAAGACAAUUCACUCUGCUAGAUUGAUCUCAAUGUCUGGAUUAGGUACUCAAGCUAGCAGUAACGACACUUUAUCGGGAACAAUGCCUUCUGACAAUACUGUAGAACGGAUGCGUCAUGGUCGUCUACUGAAGUUGGACCUCAGUGAUGGAAAGAGCCUUUAUGCAAAAUUGGUGGUUGGAGCUGAUGGUGCCAAGUCACGUGUCAGAGAGAUAGCUGGAGUGAAGACAACUGCACGGAAUUAUUCACAAAGUGCAGUCAUAUGUACAGUUGAACAUACAGUUGAAAGCCACUGUGCAUGGCAGAGAUUUCUUCCUUCUGGCCCUAUUGCACUUUUACCUAUAGGUGACAAGUUCAGCAACAUUGUUUGGACGAUGAAGCCUGAGGAAUCUUUGGAUCGCAAAUCCAUGAGUGAGGAUGAUUUUGUAAAAGCUGUCAACAAAGCAUUGGAUUACGAUUACGGUCCCCAUCCCCAACCAAGUGUUAUUGAUCAAUAUUUAGACACAUUUUCUCAGUUUACUGGACAGAGGGCCGCGUCUGCACCAGAAUGUUUUCAGGUGCCUCCCAGAGUAAUUAAUGUAGUCUCAGAAAGAAUGGCCUUUCCUUUAUCACUGAUGCAUGCUCAUGAAUAUGCAUCAAGAAGAGUGGCACUUAUUGGUGAUGCAGCACACGCCGUUCAUCCUUUAGCUGGUCAAGGAGUCAAUUUAGGAUUUGGAGAUGCUUCAUCGUUAUCGAAGGUCAUUGCUGAAGGUCUCUCAGUGGGUGCUGAUAUAGGGGAGCUCUCGUUGCUGAAGAGGUAUGAGAAGGAGAGGAAAGCAGCUAAUGUGGCCAUGAUGGCAAUUCUCGAUGGCUUUCAGAAGGCUUACUCUGUUGAUCUCGGACCCCUCAAUGUCCUGAGGGCCGCUGCAUUCCAUGGUGCUCAAUAUAUUGAGCCACUCAAAAGAAAUAUAAUUUCAUACGCGACGGGCGAGAAAAAAUGGCCUCUUUUUUCUUGAAAUUGGAAGAAUCUGAAAAGCUCAUGAAAAAUCACUGUUCUUCGUUCAAGUAGUUUUGUCAUUCAGGUCCAAAUUUCUCUUCCUGGUUUCUUUAAAAUAUCAAAUGUUGAAAGCAACAAGCCAAGAAGUCUCAGCUCCAGAUGAACCUGUGGAUCACAUCCAGCGCGAAGCUCUGCAAGCAAGGAAGCUUAUUUCAGAAUCUUACAUCCACACAGAUAAUUUUCUUGAGGAGGUUUCACAACUAAAAGUUCACCAUAGUAGGAAAUGACAAAAAUCGAUUUUCUUUUAAUUUCCUUUUUGUUAUUUAUUUAUAAAAGAGGGAUGUGGCGCCUGUCGCGUGUACAUAUUGUUAUUUCAUAAUUUGGAAACAUCCAUGUAACUUGAGAAACA